AAGACUAUAUUUUCAGGGAUAAUUUCUCUAGUUUGUUACUAGAGAAGUUUCUUUGAUCAUAUAGGGCACCAGAAACCAUGAGGAUGCAGUGUUCUCUCCUGAGUGAGAAGCCAGCUGUUGGUGUUGCUUUGCUGUGAUUGCCAUUUGCCAUUGUUGAGCAUUCUUGAUCUCUCCUUCAGGGGAGCAAGAGGGAGAGGAUAUAGUCUGAGUAGA
rnacentral:snoRNA from 1 species